GUCUCCAGGUAAGGCCUGGGGUAAGGCAUGGGGCUGGGGCUGGGCAGUGUGGCCUGAGUGACCGAGGUGGGCACAAUGAAGGCCUCCUGGGCCAGGCCACGCAUACCACAUACACAGUGGCUGCAAGAGGGACCUGCCUUAGUCACUAAGGAUGUAUAUCAUUUUGAAUCAAGAGGUCUCACCUGAGGAGCCAGGGACAGGGGACAUUUCUGGAGCCUAGUAUCUCUCAGGUGAGACAGAGGGUCAGGACAGACAUAGGGGAUUUUGUACUGGCUUUGAGGUAAGAUCAGAAGAGUCCAGUCUGGCAGGGGGACAUAUAAGUGGUGAGCCUGGUCAUUUAGGGUCAGUCACGGGGUAGCCUCGUGUCAGGAUCAGGCAGAGGUACGAUGGUAAAUAGUGGGGUUUCUCAGGGCUCAGCGGCUCAGCCAGAGUCCACAUACAUUGGAGAGCUAACUUUGACUGGUGGGGUCUGAAGAGGAGCCAGGACAGGUACAGGUGAGUUCUGAGGAGGAGCAAGGACAGGUAAAGGUACUGAUGAGGUCUAUGAAUUCUGGAAAAGACACCAGUAUUUACGGAUGGUUCUAUCAAGUGAGGUCUGAGAAACCAAAGUCAUGUACAGGUACUUUAACCUGGAUCGGUGAAGUGAAGUCCCUGGCAUAGGACAGCCAUAUACAUCGGGGUCUCUCUUGACUGGUUCUGCAAAGUGAGCAUCAGGUCAUGGGUGUGUGCUCACUCAAAUGAGGUGAUUAAAACUCAGAAUUAGGCAAAUACGCGUAAGCCCCCUGAGCCACAUCAGCCACCUGGCUCUCGGCAUCCUGACCAGGUGUGAUAAGCAGAGCUCAGGGUUGCAGAGGCCUUUGCGGAUCCACAACCAGCCAAGGUUCUGGCACUGGGUUCUGGCUGGGGUGGGGCUUGAGGGGCCCAGAGAGGGAAAGUUAGGAAUAGAGCAAGUUAUAAAAGGUGAGGACUGGGGAGUUGGGGCGUGUGAAAAAGGUACAGGAGUCGUGUUGGUAAGGUAUAGUUUGAGAGGCUCGUGGCAGACGAAGGUCUAGAGACCCACGUCUAUAGGGUGAGAGGUCUGAGGCCCGAGUCACUCAGGCACCAAGGGGCUCUCACCAGUCCUCCCUCAGGCCCAGGUAAGCAGCCAGGAAUUUGUCCCGUCUGAGAGAAAUAUCUGUUCGGAUUAAGUUUGUACAGUGGAGUCGGCCAAGGGCGGUCUGUAGAGCCACAUCUGUCUGAGGUCUCAGGAGCUAGAGUCAGACAAGGUGUGUAUAACUAGGCAGGUUUCUUAGGGAGGCCUGAGGAGCCAAGAUUUGGCACAUAUAGGUAGAAGCAGGUUGCUCAGGUGAGGACACUGGAGCCGGAAAAGGGCAGAGAGAGCAAAGUCUGACAAGUGAGGACUAGAAAUCCAUGGUCAGGUCCAGGUCAGAGCUAUGUCCUCAGGUGAUAUCCAGCAGUUCUGGUCGUGCACACCUCGGCGAUCCUAGAGGUGGUCCUGGGUCCCCUGGGAAAAGACUGAAAAGCUGGAGUCAGGCAAAAGGAAGGGGAACUGCAUCCAUGAAUUCUGGGUCUGGCUCAGGUAUGUAGAACAGGUCUGUGUCAGGUGGGGCUUGAAGAGUUGAGGUGAGAUACAGGUUUGUACCUUGGGUUUCUACCAAGUAAGGUCUGAAUGCUGAGGUCAGGCUCUGGUUAGUAUUCUGAAUCUGAGGAGCUGGGGUCAAGCACAGGUGGGUAGAGCUGAGUUUCUCAGGUAAUAUCUAUGAAACCAAAGGCAAGCAGAGGUAGAUUGACCUGAAAAGCCAUGGUUAGGUUCAUUCAACUCUGUCUCACCAUUGAGUUUAGGCAUACGUCGGUAGACGAGAUCUGUCAGGCGAGGCCUAAAGAGCUGGUGUUAGGCUUAUGUAGAAAGAACUGUAUCUCUUAGAUGAUCUCUGAGGAUAUGAAGUGAAGUCAGGAGGACAGGGCUCAGUCUCUCAGGUGAGAUCUCAGGAACCAGGAUUGGGUACGAGUGACUACAUCUGGAUCUCCUAGGUAAGGUCAAGAUCAGCAGAUAGAACUGCCUAUCUUGCCUAUCUCUGCCUAUCUUGUAGAAUUAUUUUGCAAGAUUGACGAGUUGUGGCCAGGUACAGGUAUAUGGAAUUGAGUUUCUCAGGAAGGGUCUACGGAGUCUGUAAAUGGCACAGGUUUGUAUCCUUGGGACUGUCAGUAUAGUUCAGCACAGGUGAGUACAGCAGGGUUUAUCAGGUAAGGUCUGUGGAGCCAAGAUUAGGGCAGGUUCACAACACUCAAUCUGUCCAGUGAGUUCUAAUAAGUCACAGUCCAGCCCUGGGAAGAACCGAAUGUAUUAGGUAAGAUGUGCGCAACGGAGAUGAGGUAUGCGUAGGCGGAGCUAGCCCACUAGGUACAGUCUCAGAAGCAAGCACAGGUAGGUAGAAUUGCACUGCCAGGUGUGGUCUGAAGAGCCAGGGUCCAGCACUGGUAGGCAGAUCCAGCCCACCAGGUGAGGUCUGAGGACCCAGGGGUCAAGCACAGGUAGGCAAAACUGCCCCACCAAGUAUGGUCUGAGAAGCCAGGGUCAAGCCCAGGUAGGUAGAACAGGCUCACCAAGGUGAAGUCUGAGGAACCAAUGUGAAACGCAGGUAGGAAGAGCUGGUCUGGCAGGUGAGGUGUGAGGAACCAGGGUCAACCAUAGGUCCACCAGGUAUGGUCUGAGAAGUCAGAGUCAAGCACAGGUAAGUAAAACCGCCAGGUAUGAUCUGAGAAGCCAAGGUCAAGCAAAGGUAGGUAGGACUGGCCUAUCAGGUGAAGUCUGAGGAACUGGAGUCAAGCACAGGUAGGCAGAUUUGGCUUGCCAGGUGAGGUCUGAGGGGCCAGGGUCAAGCACAGGUAGGUAGAAUUGGCCUGCCAGGUAUGAUCUGAGGAGCCAAAGUCAAGCACAGGUAGGUAGAACUGGUCCACAAAGGGUGGUUGGAGGAGCCAAGAUCAAGCACAGGUAGGCAGAGCUUGCCUGGUAUGUGUGGUCUGAGGAACCAGGAUCAACCAUAGGUGGGUAGAACUGGUCCACCAGAUAUGGUCUGAGGAGCCAGACCUAGGUCAAGCACAGGUAGGCAGAUCUGGCUUGCCAGGUGAGGUGUGAAGAAGCAGGGUCAAACACAGGUAGGUAGAACUGGUAUAUCAAGCAGUCUGAGGAACUGGAGUCAAGCACAGGUAGGCAGAACUGGCCUAUGAGGUGAAGUCUGAGGAACUGAGGUCAAGCACAGGUAGGCAGAUCUGCCUUGCUAGGUGAGGUCUGAGGAGCCAGGGUCAAGCACAGGUAGGUAGGUAGAACUAGCUUACCCGGUACAGUCUGAGGAACCAGGGUUAAGCACAGGUAACACCAUCAGGUACGAUCUGAGGAGCCAGGGUCAAGCAAAGGUAGGUAGAACUGGCCUAUCAGGUGAAGUCUGAGGAACUGAGGUCAAGCACAGGUAGGUAGAAUUGGCUUGCCAGUUAUGGUCUGAGGAGCCAAGGUCAAGCACAGGUAAGUAAAACUAGACCACCAAGUAUGAUCUGAGGAGCCAAGAUCAAGCAAAGGUAGGUAGAAUUGGCCUAUCGGAUGAGAUCUGAGGAACCAGGGUCAUGCACAGAUAGGUAGAACUGGCCUACCAGGUAUGGUGUGAGGAGCCAAGGUCAAGCACAGGUAGGUAGAACUGGUCCACCAAGGGUUGUUGGAGGAGCCAAAAUCAAACACAGGUAGGCAGAGCUGGCCCAGCAGGUGAGGUCUGAGGAACCAGGGUAUGAUCUGAGGAGCCAAAGUCAAACAUAGGUAGGUAGAAUUGGCCCACCGGGUACGGUCUGAGGAGCCAGGGUCAAGGACAGGUAGGUAGAACUGGCAUAUUAGGUGAGGUCUGAGGAACUGAGGUCAACCACAGGUAGGUAGAUUUGGCUUGCCAGGUCAGGUCUGUGGAAUCAGGGUCAAGUAUAGGUAGGUAGAACUGCGCUGUCAUUUGUGGUCUGAGGAGCCAAAGUCAAGCAUAGGUAGGUAGAACUGGCCCACCAAGGGUUGUUGGAGGAGCCAAGGUCAAACACAGGUAGGCAGAGCUGGCCCAGCAGGUAAGGUCCGAGGAACCAGGAUACGAUCUGAGGAGCCCAGGUUAAGCAUAGGUAGGUAGGACUGGUCUAUCAGGUAAAGUUUGAGGCACUGGAGUCAAGUACAGGUAGGCAGAUUUGGUUUGCCAGGUGAGGUCUGAGGAACCAGGGUUAAAUAUAGGUAGGUAGAACUACACGACAGUGUAGUGGUCUGAGGAGCCAAAGUCAAGCAUAGGUAGGUAGAAUUGGCCCACCAGGUAUGGUCUGAGGAGCCAGGGUCAAGGACAGGUAGGUAGAAUUGGCAUAUCAGGUGAAGUCUGAGGAACUGAGGUCAAGCACAGGUAGGCGGAUUUGGCUUGCGGGUCACGUCUGUGGAACCAGGGUCAAGUAUAGGUAGGUAGAAUUGCACUAUCAUUUGUGGUCUGAGGAGCCAAAGUCAAGCAUGGGUAGGUAGAAUUGGUCCACCAGGUGAGAUCUGAGGAUCUGGGGUAAAGUACAGGUAGGUGGAACUAGCCAUUGGUCUUAAGGAUUCAGGGUCAAGCACAGGUAGGUAGAACUGGCCUGUCAGGUCAAGUCUGAAGAACUGGGGUCAAACACAGGAAGGCAGAUCUGGUUUGCCAGGUGAGGUCUGAGGAGCCAGUGUUAAUUAAGCACAGGUAGGUAGAACUGGCCCACCAGGUAUGGUCUAAGGUGUCAAGGUCAGGCACUAGUAGGUUGAACUAGCCUGUCAGGUUAAGUCUGAAGAACUGGGGUCAAACACGGGUAGGCAGAUCUAGCUUGCCAGGUCAGGUUUGAGGAGCCCGGGUCAAGCAUAGGUACGUAGAACGACCACCAGGUGCAGUCUGAGGAGCCAAGGUUAAGCACAGGUAGGCAGAGCUGGUCUGGCAGGUUAGAGGAGCUGGGGUCAGAGACAGGUAGGUAGAAGUGGCCAGCCAGGUAUGGUCUAUGUAUGGACUCAGGGGCAUGUAAGGUAGGCAGAUCUGGUCUGCCAGGUGUGGUCUGAGGACCCAGAGUCAAGCACAGGUAGGUAGAAAUCGCCCUCCAGGUGUGAUCUAAAGACCAGAGUCAUGCACAGGUAGGUAGAAGCGGCCCACCAGAUAUGGUCUGAGGAGCUAAAGGUCAAGCACAGGUAGGCAGAAUUGGCCUGCUAGGUACAGCAUAUAUAAGGAGCCAGGGUCAUAGAAGGUAGGUAGAGCUGGCCCACCAACUGCAGUGUAAGAGCCACAGGCACGUAAAGUAGGCAGAUCUGCCCUGCCAGGUGUGGUCUCGGGACCCAAGAUCAAGCAAAGGUAGGUGGAGCUGGCCUGUCAGGUGUGGUCUGAGGAGGGAGGUAGAGUUGACUUUCAGGUGUUGGAUUCAGGCAAAGGCAUGUACCCUUGGAUCUUUGUGGUGGGGCCUGAAGAAGGUUAAGCCUGGGUGGGUGGAGUGGCCACAGGCGAGUCCCACAGCAUUGGGGUCUUUAGGAAGACAGACACUGUGGGGUUCAAGGGAGGUCUGUAAGCCCUAAGUUAGACGAGAGUAGGUAGAUGUGGCUCUCUCAAGCAUGGACUUUGGAGCCAGAGAUCUACACUUGAGUCUUGUUGGUGAAGUCCUUGGAACGUGGCUCUGGCUUAGGUGUGCUGGCCCAGGUUUUAGAGUUAGAGGGGAGGCUUGGAGAGCAUGGGUUAGUCACAGGGAGGGAGAGCCACAUCUCAGCGGGGGGGGGGGGGGGGGGGGGCGUCUCUAGAGCACUGGUAUACACAGAGAUACUUGUGUCUGAUGAGGUCUGAGGCUCCUCAGUGAGCAGUUGUUGCCAGGUCAAGCAGUGGCUGCUAAUGUCAGAUCUGCAAGAUGCCGAGAUCCAUGUCAGACAAGGGAUAUGGAGCUGGGUUUCUCAAGUUGGGCCUGGGAGUUGAGGUCAGGCCUGUUUAGACAGAGCUGAGUCUCUCAGGAAAGUGUGAGGAGUCUGAGUUGGGCUCAGGGAAGUACGCCCGAGUCUGUCAUCUGAGAUGUGGGGGGUCAGGCACAGAUACGUGGAGCUGGGUACACCCGCUGAGCUUUCUGGAGCCAGUCUCUGACAGGUGUGUGACCCUGUCACACAGUAUGAGGUACUGGAGCGGGACACAGGUAGGCAGAGCUAACCUCACAGGCGAAGCCACUGCAUCCAUGCAGUGUCGUGAGUCCGUGGAUCCGGAGUCAUGUGGGCAGAGGUAUAUAAGUGUGAUCUUAGGUGGGUUCUUGUCACCUGGAUUCAGGUAUGAGUUGGCAUCCCUGGGCUUGUUAGGUGAAAUGAGAAGGCAAGCUCUAGCCCAGGAAUGCAUAACUGAUGUGGCCGGUGAGGCCUGAGUAUAUGGGUCAGGUGCAGGUGGGGUCCUCGGUGGUAGGAUCAGGCAUGGCUUGGGUAGCAUGGGCUGCCCUCAAGGGAAAGCCAGAGUCAUCGUAGGUAUGUGUACCUGGGUCUGCCUGGGGACCCUUAGGAUCAGGUAGGACAGAUGGAAUGCCUUGGCCAGGGCAGCUUCCUGUUCUCAGUACCCCGGUCAUGCAUGAUAGGCAGAGCUCAUGGUAUUGCAGAGGCAUGAGGAUCUCUAGCCAGUCCAGGGUGUGGUCUAUAGCAUUGGGGUCUGAGUUACGCAGGUGAGGGAAAUAAUAGAAUUAUAACUAGUUAGAUAAAGUGAGGUUUGUUGUGGGAGAGGCAUAGAACGCUGAACUGACGAGCUAUAAGGUGUGAUCUGAAAGAGCCGCUGCAGCGAACAUGAGUUCUAGAGACUGUGUCCUGUAGGUGGAGGUCUUAGAGGCUCAAGUCAGACACUGGCAUUGCCUGGCUCCCAAAAGUGAGGUCUGAUGACCUGGCUCAGCCAAAAUCAGCAGCUUGGCAGUCUGCUUUCUAGAACUGAGUCUGUUCGGUGAGAUCUGAGAGCCCAUGUCAUGCAUGGUUUGGCCCCUGGGACGGUGUCUGUCAGGUAAGGUUUCCCCAAACCUGGACUGUUUCCAGGUGAAGGGCCUCCCUGUUCAUCUCAUUACCCAGGCCAAAAACCUCUGGGCUGCACUUGAUUCUCUCAUUCUCUCAAUUCACCCUAUUUGAUUGAAGUUCCUGAAUCAGUCCUCUGCACCCCCAUCCACAGUACUGUCACGUUCCUGAUGACCCCUGGCAUUCCCUGCUUCAUUCUCCAGCAUUGCCUCUCAGCUUCUACCCUCCAGCUCCGCUGCUUCUUUCAUCUAGAAUGUGCUGUGCUUCUCUUGCCCAGCCUGUCUCAAUGGGCCUCCAGUAGAGAAUUAAGCCCUAAUGCCUCAAAGCAUCCAGGGGAUGUAAUGAAUCAGCAUCUCUUCUUUGCUUGUAGGAGAGUACUAGCCUUGGACCAUCCUUGGGACAGUUAAGAAGUGAAGUCACUGAAAGUAUUUUCUGUGGGGCUUAACUCUCUCACUAUUGAGAAAGGCUGCUCUAGCCACAGGACCUUUGCCUAUGCUGUGCUGGCUGCUGGAAUGCUUCUCCCCACUCAGUGCUUUCCUGGGUGAUGCCUGCUCAUUCCUUAGAUCCAAGCUCAAGCUCAAGCACUCCUCAGGUUCCUUUCAUAAUUGGUUUCACUGAUGUAUUUCCUUUCUCCCAAGCACUUAUAUCUCAUUUCACAUUUAUUGGCACGAUUAUUUCAUUUACACAUCUGGGGAGCCCCCAUGGGCUGCUUCUGUUGCCUGUGAUAGCUAUGUGGUAGGUGCUCUAUAAAUGGCUGUUAAGAAGAUGUGAAUGUGUCAGGAAGAUACAGAGUGGAGUCUGCAAGUGUGAAUGGUAGGCCUGUGUAUGUCUUGGGGCUGAGACUACGAUCAGGUAUGAGCUCUGGGCCUGUCACUGUCCCAGGAGGCAGCCCUAGGCUUGGAUAUGAGGCACUGGGUUUGUCAGUAUCAGAAGGGGCAAGGCCACGCCCAGGCAUAUUAGUAUCUGAGGAGGCAGGGCCAAGGCCAGGUAGCGUUGGAUCUUUCAUUGUUCAAGGAAGUGUGCUUGGGCACAGGUAGGAGGCAUCGGGUCUGUUCGUCUGAGGAUGCAGGGCCUGGCACAGGUAGGAGGCGCUGGGUCUGUCACUGCCGGAAGAGGCCAAGCCGGGUCCUGGUAUGAGAUUCUGACCUGUUAGUGCCCAGGUAGGUGGGCUCGCCACAGGUACAAGAUGUUGGGUCUGUUACUGUUCAGAGAGGCUGGAUACAGGUAUGGGAUACUAGGUCGGUCAGUGUCUGAGGAAGCAGGACCUGGCACAGGUAUGAGGUGCUGGGUCUGUCAGAGUGUGAGGAGGUAGAGCCUGGCAAGGUAUGAAGGGCUGGGUCUGUCGGUAUUUGAAUAGGCCUGGCACAGGUGUGAGGCAUUGGGUCUGUCAGCGUCUCACGAGACAUGACCAAACACGGGUAUGAGCUCUGGGUCUGUCGGUGUCUGAGGCGGCCGGGCGUGACAUAGGUAUGAGGUGCUGGGUCCGUCAGUAUUCGAAGAGGCUCGGGCACAGGUAUGAAGCACUGGCUCUGUCAGUGUCUAAGGGGCUAGACCCGGCAAGGUAUGAGAUGCUGGUCUGUUGGUGUCUGAGGAAAUGGGGCCUGGUACCAGGUAUGAGCCGCCGGGUCUGUCGGAGGAGGAGGAGGCCAGGCCCGGUGCAGGUAUGAGGCGCUGGGUCUAUCGGAGGAGAAGGCCGGGCCUGGCGCAGGUACGAGGUGCGCCGGGUCUCUCUGUGUCUGAGGAGGCAGGGCCAGCCAUGGUAAGGUCUCCGGUUGGGUCUUGUGGCUCUGAUCAGUCCCACGCGUAGUCUGUCCUGUUGGUCAGCACAAAGAGUUGCCAGCGCCUGGCCUGCUGUCUUGCUUCCCAGAGGUGGGUUGGGCCUGGCCCUCCAUGCUGCACCUGUGGAAGAGCCUUGCUUUCAGGGGGCAAGUUUUGUGGCAGGAGGGAGGGGGGGCGGGGUGCGCCAAACCUUGUUCAGCACCUUUUC